rnacentral:rRNA from 1 species
UACGUAGGGGGCAAGCGUUGUCCGGAUUUAUUGGGUUUAAAGGGUGCGUAGGCGGCUUUGUAAGUCAGUGGUGAAAUAUGGCAGCUCAACUGUCAAGGUGCCAUUGAUACUGCAGAGCUUGAGUACAGAUGAGGUAGGCGGAAUUGACGGUGUAGCGGUGAAAUGCUUAGAUAUCGUCAAGAACACCUAUAGCGAAGGCAGCUUACUAGGCUGUAACUGACGCUGAGGCACGAAAGUGUGGGGAUCAAACAGG